UGAGUACGAGAUGCUACGGCAUCGAAGCAGUCUAUGUCAUACUUCCAAGAAAAGCUUGCAAUGUCAUAAACAAAUAAUGCCUGUACCAUAACCGACACAGGUGGGUAGGUAGAGUAUACUAAGGGGCGCGAGAUAACUCUCUCUAAGGAACUCGGCAAAAUGACUCCGUAACUUCGGGAGAAGGAGUGCCUUAUUUUUAUAAGGUUGCAAUAACAAGAUCCAAGCAACUGUUUACCAAAAACACAGGUCUCCGCUAAGUCGUAAGACGAUGUAUGGGGGCUGACGCCUGCCCAGUGCCAGAAGGUUAAAGAAGUUGGUUAGCAUUAGCGAAGCUGAUAACUGAAGCCCUGGUGAACGGCGGCCGUAACCAUAACGGUCCUAAGGUAGCGAAAUUCCUUGUCGGGUAAGUUCCGACCCGCACGAAAGGCGUAAUGAUUUGGAUACUGUCUCGGAGAGGGGCUCGGUGAAAUAGACUUGUCUGUGAAGAUGCGGACUACCUGCACCUGGACAGAAAGACCCUAUGAAGCUUUACUGUAACUUGAGAUUGAAAUUGGACUUUAUCUGCGCAGUAUAGGUGGGAGACGUUGAAAAUAUUCUUGCGGGAAUAUUGGAGUCAUCAGUGAGAUACCACUCUUAUAAUGUUAGAUUUCUAACUUUGUAUCAUUAUCUGGUCAAAGAACAGUUUCAGGCGGGCAGUUUGACUGGGGCGGUCGCCUCCCAAACGGUAACGGAGGCGCACAAAGGUUUCCUCUGAACGUGUAGAAAUCGUAUCUAGAGUGUAAAGGCAUAAGGAAGCUUGACUGUGAGACCUACAAGUCGAGCAGGGACGAAAGUCGGUCUUAGUGAUCUGACGGUGCUGAGUGGAAAGGCCGUCACUCAACGGAUAAAAGUUACUCUAAGGAUAACAGGCUGAUCUCCCCCAAGAGUUCACAUCGACGGGGAGGUUUGGCACCUCGAUGUCGGCUCAUCGCAUCCUGGGGCGGUAGUACGUCCCAAGGGUUGGGCUGUUCGCCCAUGAAAGCGGUACGCGAGCUGGGUUCAGAACGUCGUGAGACAGUUCGGUCCAUAUCCGGUGUAGGCGUUAGAAUAUUGAGAGGAGCCUUCUUUAGUACGAGAGGACCGAGAAGGACAUACCUCUGGUGUACCAGUUAUCGUGCCAACGGUAAACGCUGGGUAGCCAUGUAUGGAGAGGAUAACCGCUGAAAGCAUCUAAGUGGGAAGCCCACCUCAAGAUAAG
rnacentral:rRNA from 1 species